rnacentral:pre_miRNA from 1 species
AGUGUGAUAGCUGGGUUGAAUGGUGGUUCCAUUCCAAGUUUUCCAAGGAAUCUCCAUGAUGCUUUUCAUAUUGGCUGCACCAUUUGCAGUCCUAACAGCAAU